UGUUUCUAUUCGCUUUAACAAAUAAACAAACGAAUAAGCAACAGCUGAAAAAAAAAAUUAAAAUAAUCAUUAUUUUAUUGGAAAAUUGUUUACACAGUAUAGAAGUUAUAUAUGACCAAUGUGUCAUCGAAGAAAAGGUUUAUAUAUUCGUUGAUAUAGUUCAUUUAUUGUUGAAGGCGUUGACGAUGUAUAUGUAUCUGGCCGAGUUUGAGUUGAUAGACGAAAAUAUCAUGUUUGGCUAUAUCAACCAAUUUGUAAAAGUGAUAAAAAAAAACGCCUUACAAAAUUAUGAUCAUCAUAUAAAAAAUACAAUUAAUAAAUAUAUUUUAAAUUUUUUUGUUUAUAAUUAUAAAUAUUUAAUGCGGACAUAUGUACAAAAUGAAGAUUUAAAAAGUAUUUAUAUAAACAUUAUUUCGUUACUAUUCAUUGAUAUAAUGAAAAAUGAAAAUUGUGAAUUAGUAGUAAACCUGUUUGAUCUUAUAAAAUUGGAAGAAGAUAUGUAUAAUUCAUUUUGUAAACUUUUCUUAUCGAAUUAUAUUUUUAUUAUUAAACAUUUGAGCAUAAACAAGGGUUGUAAACAAUUGUUAAAUCAAAUAAAGAACCAGAUGUCAUUUGUUGAAAAUAUAAGUUACGAAGCAGUUACAAAAAAAAUAAUUAAAAAAAAUAAAAUUUUGAUAAAUAAUGAAAAUAUGUACGAACAGUUUAAUGUGAAUAAAAAACUUAGUAUCAUAAAAAACAGUUUCGAAAAAUUUUAUAUUACUAUAAAAUGUAAUAACUAUAAAAUGGAUUCGUUUUUUAACGACAAUAGAAUGGAAGAUGUGGAGUUCGAGCAUGGUCGUGUUAGUAGUGCAGUUGGUAGUUAUAAAAGCAACAGAAGUGACAGUAGUAGUAGUGGUAAUAGUGGUUGUAGUGGUAAUAGUGGUAGUAGUGGUAGUAGUAGGAAUGAAAGCAAUGGUAGUAGUGACAGUAUUAGUGAUAAAAGUGAUGAUAGUAAUAAAAGCGAUGAUAGUAAUAAAGGCGAUGAUAGUAAUAAAAGCAAAGGCCGAGUUGAUAAAGAAAAAAAAGUGAUGGUAAAUACGCGGUACCAAUUCGACAUAUGUGUAUUAAGUAAAAUAUUUUUGUCAUUACACACUAUUAAAAAUAUAGAAGAACAAUUAUUUUUAAUUUUAAAGAUUAUAUUUGAUAAUAUAAAAAAUUAUGGAAAAUAUAAUGAAUAUAUAUUAAUACAUAUUUUAUUUUGCUUUAUUAAUAAUUUAAAUACAAUGGAUAAAAAAAUGAUAAAUAAGAUAACGCUUUCUUAUUUUAUAAAAUAUUCUUUUUUGAUAUUAAAAAUACAAAAAAAGUAUAUAACGAAAAAUACAACUAACACUACUAAUAAUAACAACACUAAUUUGUUUAUACUUAAGUUGUUCUUUCGCACUAUUAACAAUUUUAUAUAUAUUAUGCAAAAUAAAUUAGUACAACAAACAGUAUUGGAAAAGCAGUUGCAACAAAUGGAGACCACUGUCCCUUGUAAUUAUAAUAAUUUAAAAAAAAAAAGGGACAAAAAAGAGGACCACAUAAAACAAACAUCGUCAGAUGAAAAUAGUAACUUAAUCAAUGGAAAUAAUAAAUUAAAAAAAAAAAAAAAAAAUAGAGAAAAAAAAAAAAUGAUAAAAAAAAAAAAAAAAGGAACAGAUGUAUGUUAUAUUUUUUUUAUCAAAUAUUUUAUAUUAACAUAUGACAUGUUAACAAAUAAAAACAGCACAGAUAUGAAUGAUGAAGAUGUAAUGUAUUUGCUAAGUCAUAUACAAGAUGAUUCAAGUGAUUUGGAUUUUAAACAAAGCAAUGAUUGCGAUUUUGUCAGUAAGAAAACCAAAGAAAUAAAAUCUUGGUUAGUCAAACUAAAAUCUUUUAUAGUAAAAUUAUUAACUAAUAAAAACACUAAAGUUAAUAGUAAGAGCAAACAUAUUAUAAAAAACUGGAAUACUACUGUAGUUAAAUUAAAUAUAUUUUUUUUUGAUUUAAUAGAAUAUAUUUUCUUUUCUUUCAUAUUUUUGAAUAAUAUUAGUGGCAUAAACGUACUAAAUAAAACUGACAAACACAUAUGUCGCAUUUUUAAGAAACUAAAUGUAAGCGAUGUGUUUUAUUCGGUUAAUGACGAAUUGAAAAUAUUUACGUAUGGCCUUAUGUUGUUCCAAGUGUUUAAUAUUGCAAAGACAGGGAAAGGGCAAGAUAAAAAUGGAAGUGGAAAUGGAGAGAGUAAUGAAAAGAGUAAUGAAAAUGGAGAGAGUAAUGNNNNNNNNNNGAAAAGAGUAAUGAAAAUGGAGAGAGUAAUGAAAAGAGUAAUGAAAAGAGAAAAAAAAAAAAGAACACACAUAAUAAGUUAA
rnacentral:lncRNA from 1 species